rnacentral:rRNA from 1 species
CAGCAGCCGCGGUAAUACGAAGGGGGCUAGCGUUGUUCGGAAUUACUGGGCGUAAAGGGCGCGUAGGCGGCCACUUAAGUUAGAUGUGAAAGCCCUGGGCUCAACCUAGGAAUUGCAUUUGAUACUGUUUGGCUUGAGUUCGGGAGAGGUGAGUGGAAUUCCCAGUGUAGAGGUGAAAUUCGUAGAUGUUGGGAAGAACACCAGUGGCGAAGGCGGCUCACUGGACCGACACUGACGCUGAGGCGCGAAAGCGUGGGGAGCAAACAGGAUUAGAUACCCCGGUAGUCCCUGUCUCUUAUAC